rnacentral:lncRNA from 1 species
UUGCUAUGCAAAUGUACCAUACCGGCAAGUAAAAGUGGUUUCGUGUCGGUCUUCUAGGGCUACAACUAUUUGGUUAUAUCCCGAUUAAACAUCUAAGAAAUAGUAAUAUUUGUUACUUGCCAGUUGGUCUAAUAUCUGGUCUAAGAAAUAGUAAUAUUUGUUACUUGCCAGUGGCUUUAUUCAAUUUUCUGUAGUCUAUACAGAUUCUCCAACCCAUGACUAUUCUCGUCGGGAUUAACUCUGUAACACCCCAAAUUUUG